rnacentral:tRNA from 1 species
GUGAGCUUAUAAAAUAAGUUGCGCGACACUGAUAAUGUCGAGGUCGGAAGUUCAAGUCUUCCAUCGCCCACCA